rnacentral:rRNA from 1 species
GCACAAGCGGUGGAUGAUGUGGAUUAAUUCGACGCAACGCGCAGACCUUACCUGGUCUUGACAUCCCGGGAAUUCCUUGAAAGAGGGAAGUGCCUCGCAAGAGGAGCCUGGAGACAGGUGCUGCAUGGCUGUCGUCAGCUCGUGUCGUGAGAUGUUGGGUUAAGUCCCGCAACGAGCGCAACCCUUGUCUUUAGUUGCCAUCAUUCAGUUGGGCACUCUAAAGAGACUGCCGGUGUCAAACCGGAGGAAGGCGGGGAUGACGUCAAGUCCUCAUGGCCCUUACAUCCCGGGCUACACACGUGCUACAAUGGCAGGUACAGAGGGCUGCGAAGCCGCGAGGUGGAGCGAAUCCCAGAAAACCUGUCUCAGUCCGGAUUGAAGUCUGCAACUCGACUUCAUGAAGGCGGAAUCGCUAGUAACCGCGAAUCAGCAGGUCGCGGUGAAUACGUUCCCGGGCCUU